UACGUAGGGGGCUAGCGUUGUCCGGAAUCAUUGGGCGUAAAGAGCGUGUAGGCGGCCCGGUAAGUCCGCUGUGAAAGUCGGGGGCUCAACCCUCGAAUGCCGGUGGAUACUGUCGGGCUAGAGUGCGGAAGAGGCGAGUGGAAUUCCUGGUGUAGCGGUGAAAUGCGCAGAUAUCAGGAGGAACACCGAUGGCGAAGGCAGCUCGCUGGGACGGUACUGACGCUGGGGCGCGAAAGCGUGGGGAGCAAACAGG
rnacentral:rRNA from 1 species